rnacentral:rRNA from 1 species
ACCUACGGGGGGCAGCAGUGGGGAAUAUUGCCCAAUGGGCGAAAGCCUGAUGCAGCAACGCCGCGUGAAGGAAGAAGGCCUUCGGGUCGUAAACUUCUGUCCUUGGGGAAGAAGAACUGACGGUACCCAAGGAGGAAGCCCCGGCUAACUACGUGCCAGCAGCCGCGGUAAUACGUAGGGGGCAAGCGUUAUCCGGAUUUACUGGGUGUAAAGGGAGCGUAGACGGCAUGGCAAGUCUGAUGUGAAAACCCGGGGCUCAACCCCGGGCCUGCAUUGGAAACUGUCAGGCUAGAGUGUCGGAGAGG